rnacentral:rRNA from 1 species
AUGAACGCUGGCGGCGUGCCUAAUACAUGCAAGUCGAGCGCACAGACGAGGAGCUUGCUCCUCUGACGUUAGCGGCGGACGGGUGAGUAACACGUGGAUAACCUACCUAUAAGACUGGGAUAACUUCGGGAAACCGGAGCUAAUACCGGAUAAUAUAUUGAGCCGCAUGGUUCAAUAGUGAAAGACGGUUUUGCUGUCACUUAUAGAUGGAUCCGCGCCGCAUUAGCUAGUUGGUAAGGUAACGGCUUACCAAGGCAACGAUGCGUAGCCGACCUGAGAGGGUGAUCGGCCACACUGGAACUGAGACACGGUCCAGACUCCUACGGGAGGCAGCAGUAGGGAAUCUUCCGCAAUGGGCGAAAGCCUGACGGAGCAACGCCGCGUGAGUGAUGAAGGUCUUCGGAUCGUAAAACUCUGUUAUUAGGGAAGAACAAAUGUGUAAGUAACUAUGCACGUCUUGACGGUACCUAAUCAGAAAGCCACGGCUAACUACGU